rnacentral:rRNA from 1 species
GACGAACCGUACGAACGUUAUUCGGAAUCACUGGGCUUAAAGGGUGCGUAGGCGGCGCGACAAGUUGGGUGUGAAAUCCCUCGGCUCAACCGAGGAACUGCGCCCAAAACUGUCGUGCUCGAGGGAGACAGAGGUGAGCGGAACUUAGGGUGGAGCGGUGAAAUGCGUUGAUAUCCUAAGGAACACCGGUGGCGAAAGCGGCUCACUGGACCACAACUGACGCUGAGGCGCGAAAGCUAGGGGAGCAAACAGG